ensembl:lncRNA
CAAUACCCUCGUACCAGCAGCACCAGCAGCGGAAAGCAGUUUCAACCAACUUCCUCCGGCGGUGGGUUCGCGACCGCGGGGCGGAGAAGCCGGAACCUCAGGGUCACCAGGUGCGCCCGGUUCCCCCUCCUCCCCUCACUGAGGGGAUCUCCGCUCGCCAGACCCCGGGCCGGGGGCAACGGCGACCCACAGCCGCUCCGACGCCCAAAGUCGCAUCCCACCCGGCAGCCCCUUAACGACAGCCGACAGCGCCGUCGCCACCAGCCUCGUUGCUCCGGCUGGCGCUUCAGCCUAGCGGGCCCCAGCCGUCUUCGCCAUGGAGAGUUCCCCGUCCCGAAGUGGGCAGGCGGUGGGAGAGAAAGAGCAGCAGGGUGGAGACUCCUCCGGCAGCAGGGGAGGGAGAAGAGGAAAGGCGAAAGCGAAGGGCGGGUGCGGAGCUGUGCCAGCUGCUGCCGCCUCUUGGGCCACGGGGCCCGACCCGCUCCGCUCAGAGGCGCUGUAGGCGGUCUAGCCCCGCAUCCCCGGCUCUCCUCGGCGCGGCCCGACGCCCGGAUCCGACCCUGCCAAGAGCUGCUCCCCGCGGGACAGCCUCACUCUCCCAUUUUGUACCGUCGCUGCUGGGGCUGCUGCCGCGCUGUCCGGCGGGGCAGGGCGAGGUCGGUGCCCGAUGGAGACUUAGGAGAGGAAAGGCUGGAGAGCGGGCGGCGGAGGAAGACGAGGCUCGGGUCCCGGCGGCUGCUGAUGGGGGAACUUCUGGGAGGGGCUGCGUCCCCAGCUCUGGAGAGGGCGAGUCGCGGCAGCGAAUGCCUGNCCCCGGCCGGUUCUGAAGAGCCGAGGGGAGCUCUGGAGCUGUAGCAGAGGUCGAGGCGGGCUAGGCGAGGGUGGGGCGGGCAGGGGCGCCGAGCUCUUUCGGUCUCUGGUCGUAUCCUGGCAGCUGCCUCCACUGCCCUUCCUCUGGGCGGCUGCGGUCCAGAGCUCUCUGACCGGAAAGAGAGGGUGCUUGUUAUUAUUUUGCAAAUAGGUUCUUUUUUAGGCAAGAUGCCUUUUCACCGACAAGGCAGCAUUUUAGCAUCAGCUAAUGAGCUGGUUUUCUGUAGUAUUUCACCGUCGGCCCUCCGGGAACACCACCACGUUUAAACCGUCUGCGAUUCCAUGGGAAAAUGACGAAGCCAUGCAGUACUCAAGCCUCCUGAGCCGAGCGUGUGUACCAGGGGAGCACUAAAUACGGACUCCGGAAGAAAUAGUCCGUAGAAAUCAAGUUCAGUUUGCUUUUUUUUUUUUUUUAAUCUCAGAAUCAAUAUUUUAAGUUACUCCUACUAGUUCUUCCGCACCAUUAUUCAUUCCCAUUGUAGUUCUCUUCCUUUUUUUUUUUUUUUUUUUAAGAUUUUAUUUAUUCAUGAGAGACACAGAGAAGGGGGGCCAGACAGAAGCAGGCUCCAUGCAGGGAGCCCCACUAGGGUCUCGAUCCCGGGUAUCCAGGAUCACGCCCUGGGCCGAAGGCAGGCGCUUAACCGCUAAGCCACCCAGGGAUCCCCUGUAGUUCUCUUCUUGAUGUGUGAUCCUGCAAGUUCAGUGAAACUUAAAAUUGUGAUUUUUAACAGAACCAAUGUAGAAUAUGAAAAUUAUGAGCAUUUCCUCUUAAGUCAAUUGCUUCAUUGACUGUGGUGUGAGAAGGUAAAGACUUGUUGCUCAGUCUGCUCAUGUUCUUCACGGCUAUGAGCGGGAAAUCUACCUUAUUUCUAAUCAAUCUUUAGUUUUGCUCAUAGGUCAGAUUAAAGAUUGCUAGAAAUAAAAAACGUGGAUGUUUUACCCCA